UGAUGAGAGGAAUGUAAUAGAAUAGAAUAAUUUGGACUGGGAUGGAAUAGAAUUGGAUGGGAUGGGAUGAGAUGAUUGUUGUUGUUUUUGCAGCGGUCCAACCCAGAGCAGGGCUGCCUGAGUCACAGAUUCAUGCAGGGCACCAUCCUGGCGCUGGUCAUCAUAAUGGCCUUCAGGUGAGGGAGGAAAUCAUUCACCCCAAACAUUAGAAUGAAUAUUUUGAGUCUUUGUUUCAUGCUCAUUAUCAUCUGUUCUGUAGUGUCAUCUCCAUGUCCAUCCUCUAUGUGCUCAAUCUUCAACGCCAUGGAAGCAUAAGUGAUGUUGAGGGGUCUCGUUCUGCUCUGGGUUCGGCUCGUCAGGCUUCUUUUUCCCGUGUCAGAGUGACCACAUCCACUCUCUCCCCAGACUCCACGUCGCCAUCGUUGUCCAGUCACCCGCCCUGCUGUCCUUCAACAUCUGCCACAACCAAUCAAUCAGCCACUAUCGGUCUGUUGCCAGGCAACAACCAAUCCACUCCUGACUCCAGCACUGGCGUUCCCACCCAGGCCACUAUUAACAAGAAGGCAAAGUCUCGGCUGCUGGACAAAGACAGCCGGAACAAGAACCGUCUGAGUCACACGUCGUCUCCUCUGUUCCUCAGUAAAGGCAAACGGCCGCCUCAGCCUCCAGAGCUGAGCGGAGCAACCAAACACUUGCCUGGUGGACAACAGCCACCGUC
rnacentral:lncRNA from 1 species